GCCUACGGGGCGCAGCAGUGGGGAAUAUUGCACAAUGGGGGAAACCCUGAUGCAGCGACGCCGCGUGAGCGAUGAAGUAUUUCGGUAUGUAAAGCUCUAUCAGUAGGGAAGAAAAUGACGGUACCUGACUAAGAAGCCCCGGCUAACUACGUGCCAGCAGCCGCGGUAGUAAGUAGGGGGCAGGCGUUAUCCGGAUUUACUGGGUGGAAAGGGAGCGUAGACGGCGGUGAAAGCCAGAUGGGAAAGCCAGGGG
rnacentral:rRNA from 1 species